CAUUGAGCCUUGAUGUGUAGGAUAGGUGGGAGGCUUAGAAGUGUGGACGCCAGUCUGCAUGGAGCCGACCUUGAAAUACCACCCUUUAAUGUUUGAUGUUCUAACGUUGACCCGUAAUCCGGGUUGCGGACAGUGUCUGGUGGGUAGUUUGACUGGGGCGGUCUCCUCCUAAAGAGGAACGGAGGAGCACGAAGGUUGGCUAAUCCUGGUCGGACAUCAGGAGGUUAGUGCAAUGGCAUAAGCCAGCUUGACUGCGAGCGUGACGGCGCGAGCAGGUGCGAAAGCAGGUCAUAGUGAUCCGGUGGUUCUGAAUGGAAGGGCCAUCGCUCAACGGAUAAAAGGUACUCCGGGGA
rnacentral:rRNA from 1 species